GUUUCGGUCGCCUAAGGGAUGGGCAACAACCUUCUAAGUUGUUCUGUGUAGGUUCGAAUCCUAUCCGAAAUG
rfam:Micromonas sp. RCC299 chloroplast, complete genome.